AUGUGCGAUGCAAGGCCGAAUAAAGAGACAUGUAAUUGUGUCAUCCAUGGAUAUUCCACAUCAGGGCAAUGGAAAGGCGCUGCUGAAAUGUUCAGAGAAAUAACAAGCCGGGGUCUUAUACCAGACGUUUUUACUUUCAACUCGUUCGGUUCCCUUUGCAAGCAUGGAAGAAGCAAAGAAGCUGCAGAAUUUUAUGAUUCCAUGACUGUCAAGGGCCACAAACUAGAUAUCCAGGGACAAGUAAUGACUGCGGAUGUAUUCACCUACGCAACUGUAAUAGCUGCACUUUGUAGCAUGGGUAGGCUGGUCGAUGCUAUGGAAAAAUUCAGUGAGAUGAUUGUACGGGAGUACAGCCAGACACAGUUGUUUGUAAGUCCCUAA
rnacentral:rRNA from 1 species